CCUACGGGAGGCAGCAGUGGGGGAUAUUGCACAAUGGGGGGAACCCUGAUGCAGCGACGCCGCGUGGGUGAAGGAGCGUUUCGGCGCGUAAAGCCCUAUCGGCAGGGAAGAAGGAGGACGGUACCUGACUAUGAAGCCCCGGCUAACUACGUUCCAGCAGCCGCGGUAAUACGUAGGGGGCAAGCGUUAUCCGGAAAUACUGGGGGGAAAGGGGGCGCCGACGGCAGCGCAAGGCAGGAGUGAAAGCCCUGGGCCCAACCCCGGGACUGCUCUUGGAACUGCGCGGCUGGAGUGAGGGAGGGGCAGGCGGAAUGCCUGGUGUAGCGGUGAAAUGCGUAGAUAUCAGGAGGAACACCGGUGGCGAAGGCGGCCUGCUGGACUGCGACUGACGUUGAGGCCCGAAAGCGUGGGGAGCAAACAGGAUUAGAUACCCUUGUAGUC
rnacentral:rRNA from 1 species